AUGCUAUUUUAUAGCUUCAAGAAGAGUACAUGAAUUCCAAAAGGAAAAAAGCAACUUUAUGCAAGUGCUUUGCUUAAAAAUAAUGUGUACAAAAAAUCAUCCAUGGCUAGAGACUCUUAUCACUAUUAAUGAUAACAAGAGAACUUAUCUCUACAGGAAAGAGCUUGAACCUCACUGAACACUGGAAUUCAGACAAGAGGUGAUGAGUGUGAUAUAUUUCAGAGCAGGGGUGAAAAGCAAAUGGUCCCUAUUCAGGGAGUACAAACUCUGAGAGUAUUUGGAAAGAAAAGUGUGGGGCUGAGCUUUGCACCACCAAAGCCCAACCAAGUUUCCUCUUUGCCCACUCCCUCAGCCAUGAGGCCAGAGAGAGAAGAGGCUGGACGUCAAAGAGACAGAGGUGGUAAAAGGACAAGCUCAAUUCACAGAUGGGUUGGCUCAGGAUGUGAGGCACCAUAUCCUCACUCAGAAGGUCGCACUACAUCCUCACUCAGAUGGGAGAGGAGGUGCCUGAAAGAAAAUGGUGACAAGAGAAUCUUCUCCAAGAGAUUCAAUUCGAGACUCUGAAGGAACAUCUUGCUUCCUCACUUUGAGAUGGCCUGAGUUCUCUGCAGCAAACUGCAUCCCAGUUUGACCGCUCCCUCUGCUCAUUCCUGAAUACAGCCCAAUAACCUACAUGGAUGGAGAUCUACUCCCUUUUGGUUUAUUCCCAAAAAAACGCAACCCAAAACAAUUAAU